GGAAGGGAAAGAAAAGGAGAAAAAGUUAUUCUCUGAAUCUCAGGGAAAAAAAGGUGGGAAUCCGUGUUUAUUGGCGGAAGAAAGCCCACAGGUAAUUGGUGAAUGAAUGCAACAGGUGGAAGAGAGAGAGAGAGAGAGAGAGAGAGAGAGAAGAUAUAACCAAGGAGACCCAGAAACAAAGUUGGGAGCUUUGAGCAAUAUUAAGCAAAGAGGAUGGUGAUUAGACAGAGACGAAGGACGAGUUUUGUAAAUUUGAAGCUCAAAUAGGUAAAGAUUCAAACCGAGAAGGAAAAGUAUGAAUGAGCUGAAAUACAGAG